AGGACGAACGCUGGCGGCGUGCUUAACACAUGCAAGUCGAACGAGGCCCUACCUUCGGGUAGGUGACCUAGUGGCGAACGGGUGAGUAACACGUGGGCAACCUACCCUCAGCUCUGGGAUAACCCCCGGGAAACCGGAGCUAAUACCGGAUAUGACCUAGAACGACAUCGUUCAUGGUGGAAAGUUUUUCGGCUGAGGAUGGGCCCGCGGCCUAUCAGCUUGUUGGUGGGGUAAUGGCCCACCAAGGCGACGACGGGUAGCCGGCCUGAGAGGGCGAACGGCCACACUGGGACUGAGACACGGCCCAGACUCCUACGGGAGGCAGCAGUGGGGAAUAUUGCGCAAUGGGCGAAAGCCUGACGCAGCGACGCCGCGUGAGGGAUGAAGGCCUUCGGGUUGUAAACCUCUUUCAGCAGGGACGAAGCGAAAGUGACGGUACUGCAGAAGAAGCACCGGCCAACUACGUGCCAGCAGCCGC
rnacentral:rRNA from 1 species